CGAAACCAAGAGUCGGUUGGUUAACCAACCGAGCCACCCAGGCGUCCCAAUUACUGCAUCACUGCUCUGAAGAGUAAGGACACGGCAGUAAACCAAAAAGCCAAGACCCUGCUACCACAGAAACUAAGUUUUCAAAGAAGAGAGAUAAAUGAAUAUACAAGACAUUCUUAGUAAUAAAUUCUGUGUAGAAAACAGAAGAGCGACGUAACAGUGACUAGGAGGGCUUCCUGUGGUUUGGGGUGGACAGGGAACCCCUCUGAGGAAGUGGCCAAACAGCAGGAGGCACAGAGCAAUGCAAAUAAUGCAGAAGUCCCAAGGCAGGAAGAGCCCAGUUCAGCCCAGAAUAGAAAGGAGGACAGAUUCAAAACACAGCAACACAGAGACAGAUAUGGGGAGAAGGAAGGUAAGCAAGACCAAAAAAAUAAAAAAUAUACUUAUGUUUCUGGCUUUAACAAGAUGCAAAUCCCUGGAGAAGGAGAACUGUUUUGUUUCUUGGUUUGGGAGGUUUUUUGGAGGCAGGGAAAGGGAGAUUCACAGUGUUCAUGUGGAUUCCCCUCUUAGACAUCCAAGUGAAGAUAUCGAGACAUUCAUGCAUGGGUCUGGCGCUCACUGGAAAGUUUGAGGCUGGAGACAUGAAUUUGGAAAUCACUGCCAUCCAGAUGUACUUGACAGAAUGAAGAUGGGGACAAGAGCAAUGACCGAGUCUGAAGCAGUCACUAAGAGGUCUGACAAAGGAUAAGGUGGUAGGUCUGGGGAAAACAAAGGUGUGUUACCGUUCAAGAGAACAAAGAUGCGGGCAUGAUGCAAAGGCUGGUCAACAUCAAAGGAGAGAAGGAGGAGUGAAGCAAUGCGUGGUUUAGCAACAUGGAAAUCAAUGGCCCUAUAACAAGAUAAUGCUUACUCACAUGAAUAAAAAUAAAUGCAUAAAUAUCAAGUCAUUAUGUUGUAUAGCUUAAACUUACACAAUAUGUCCUAUCUCCAUAAAACUGGAAAAUACAGCAAGAAAACCCAGGGAAGAGACAGGGAAGCUAACUGUUCGUCAGGAUGGGUCAUAUCCAUAAGCCUAACAUAAAACAUCUUCUGUCAUUUAUGUGCCAUUUAAAAGAAGACUGAAGAGUUAAAUAUAAACUAUCCCUGGAAACAAGAAAUUAAUAAAAUAUCAACAUAAUUAUUUUCCUCCUCUCAGACUGGUUAGCAGUAUGGGGGCAAGGGGCCAGGCUCUCUUAAAAUGAUUUAAGUUGAGAGUAGAAAUGGUUUAUACAUAAAAUAAAUCCAUGGGGACACAGAAUAUAGUCAAUAAUGUAUUAACUUUGUAUGGUGACAGAUGGUAACAAGAUUUAUAUGGUAAUCAUUUCACAAUGUAUAUAAACAUCAAAUCACCAUGUUGUCCACCUGAAAUUGACAUUGCAUUUCAGUUAUACUUCAAUAAAAAAGUGUAAAUGUAAAUUGGCAGAGUAUUUCUGGAGGGCAACGGUGAUCAAGAUGUAUUGUGUUUAUACUUUGUAAAAUUCACUUUCUUGGGUUUCUUCCUAAGGAAAUAAGUGGAAAUAGAAAAAAUGAAUUAUAAGAGAAUGUUCAAAACAAAGUUGUUCACAAUAGGAGAAAACUGUAAACAGCGUAAUUUUUCAUCAGUAGAGGAUGGAUUAUGGCACAUCCAACACGCUGAAACAGAAGGUCUUUUAAGAGGGUAACCAGAACGUCCAAGGAGCUCCACGUGUUUGAUUUGCCACCACAUAUGCAGUGUCUGAUACGUGACAGCUGCUUACAAAUACUGACUCAAUGACCAACUAUUUUUAUAGAGACAUGAAAAGAUUUCACGUUAUACUGAGAAGAGAAAAAAAAGCGACUUAGAAAAACAGCAUGUAAAACACACCCACGUAUGUUUAACGAUGGUGUUACAUGCUUGUAUCUCUGGAGACAAAUGUCCCUGAAGGACACAUUUGAAACUUGAGAGCAGCAAACACCUCUACAGAAAGGACCCUAGCAAGCAUCAGUUAGGGAGACCCAUUUUCUUCUUUAAAUAACAUUGUUUGAAAUUUCUCCAUGCGUACGUACAACCUUGGGUUUUUUGUUAUGUUGUUUUCCAUUUCUUCAAGUAUGUUUGAAUGAAUAAAAGAUUUGGAAAGAUCUAUAAAAUGGUUCUCUCUGGAAGAAUUUGAUGAGUGAACACAGGUAUGGAUGUGGGAAUAGGAUUUUCUCUAUUUUUAAUUUUAUAAACAAUCAUGUAUUAUCUAGAAAAAGACGCAGUUUCCUUUUUCAAAUGAAAUAUUUUAAAGCACACACACUAUGACCAUCUGGAGAAGCAAAAAAGGCUCAUAAAACCCAAUAAACCCUACAUGUCUCACUAUACUAGAGAAGAAAUGGUACAAAUAAUGACUUUGUCAUCAAAGAAAAUUUAACCAUUCUGUCUUCUGCAUCUAAAGUAUCUGGGCAACAUAUUAAUCUGGUAGAGAUAAAAACUGUUAUCCACAACGUUUAAAUAAAAGACUGAUUAGGGAUGGGGAGCGUAGGAGGAGGUUAAUACCUUAACCAGUUUCCAAAGCCAUCAAUUUCCUAUACAACGAUAGUAUUUUUUCCUCACUUUUCUCUUAAGUUAUUGAUUUAAUUAACACAACAGACAUUUGUACAGAGCACUUACUAAUAUACAGGCAAUGUAUUGGUAAUCAAGUUCAUUACAAAGAUUAAAAAAAAAAAAUCCCAACAAUUCUAGUUGGAAGAGACAAACUAA